UACGAAGGGAGCUAGCGUUGUUCGGAAUCACUGGGCGUAAAGCGCACGUAGGCGGUUUUGUCAGUCAGGGGUGAAAUCCCGGGGCUCAACCUCGGAACUGCCUUUGAUACAGCAAGUCUUGAGUUCGAGAGAGGUGGGUAGAAUUCCUAGUGUAGAGGUGAAAUUCGUAGAUAUUAGGAAGAACACCGGUGGCGAAGGCGGCCCACUGGCUCGAUACUGACGCUGAGGUGCGAAAGCGUGGGGAGCAAACAGG
rnacentral:rRNA from 1 species